rnacentral:rRNA from 1 species
GACGAACGCUGGCGGCGUGCUUAACACAUGCAAGUCGAACGGAAAGGCCCUGCUUUUGUGGGGUGCUCGAGUGGCGAACGGGUGAGUAACACGUGAGUAACCUGCCCUUGACUUUGGGAUAACUUCAGGAAACUGGGGCUAAUACCGGAUAGGAGCUCCUGCUGCAUGGUGGGGGUUGGAAAGUUUCGGCGGUUGGGGAUGGACUCGCGGCUUAUCAGCUUGUUGGUGGGGUAGUGGCUUACCAAGGCUUUGACGGGUAGCCGGCCUGAGAGGGUGACCGGCCACAUUGGGACUGAGAUACGGCCCAGACCCCUACGGGAGGCAGCAGUGGGGAAUAUUGCACAAUGGGCGGAAGCCUGAUGCAGCAACGCCGCGUGCGGGAUGACGGCCUUCGGGUUGUAAACCGCCUUCGCCUGUGACGAAGCGUGAGUGACGGUAAUGGGUAAAGAAGCACCGGCUAACUACGUG